rnacentral:rRNA from 1 species
UGGCUCAGAACGAACGCUGGCGGCAGGCCUAACACAUGCAAGUCGAGCGCACCCUUCGGGGCGAGCGGCGGACGGGUUAGUAACGCGUGGGAAUGUACCCUUCUCUAUGGAAUAGCCUCGGGAAACUGAGAGUAAUACCAUAUACGCCCUUCGGGGGAAAGAUUUAUCGGAGAAGGAUCAGCCCGCGUAAGAUUAGAUAGUUGGUGGGGUAAUGGCCUACCAAGUCUACGAUCUUUAGCUGGUUUUAGAGGAUGAUCAGCAACACUGGGACUGAGACACGGCCCAGACUCCUACGGGAGGCAGCAGUGGGGAAUCUUAGACAAUGGGCGCAAGCCUGAUCUAGCCAUGCCGCGUGUGUGAUGAAGGCCUUAGGGUCGUAAAGCACUUUCGCCAGGGAUGAUAAUGACAGUACCUGGUAAAGAAACCCCGGCUAACUCCGUGCCAGCAGCCGCGGUAAUACGGAGGGGGUUAGCGUUGUUCGGAAUUACUGGGCGUAAAGCGCACGUAGGCGGAUCAGAAAGUUGGGGGUGAAAUCCCAGGGCUCAACCCUGGAACUGCCUCCAAAACUCCUGGUCUUGAGUUCGAGAGAGGUGAGUGGAAUUCCGAGUGUAGAGGUGAAAUUCGUAGAUAUUCGGAGGAACACCAGUGGCGAAGGCGGCUCACUGGCUCGAUACUGACGCUGAGGUGCGAAAGUGUGGGGAGCAAACAGGAUUAGAUACCCUGGUAGUCCACACCGUAAACGAUGAAUGCCAGUCGUCGGGCAGUAUACUGUUCGGUGACACACCUAACGGAU